CAGUAGCCGCGGUAAUACGUAGGUGGCAAGCGUUGUCCGGAAUUAUUGGGCGUAAAGGGCUCGCAGACGGUUUCUUAAGUCUGAUGUGAAAGCCCCCGGCUCAACCGGGGAGGGUCAUUGGAAACUGGGAAACUUGAGUGUAGAAGAGGAGAGUGGAAUUCCACGUGUAGCGGUGAAAUGCGUAGAGAUGUGGAGGAACACCAGUGGCGAAGGCGACUCUCUGGUCUGUAACUGACGCUGAGGAGCGAAAGCGUGGGGAGCGAACAGAAUUAGAUACCCGAGUAGUCCCUGUCUCUUAUAC
rnacentral:rRNA from 1 species